UGCCUCGUCCUUAGGUGUCGGACUGGCAACUCACUAAUCUUUAAAGAACCAACACGCCCUCUUGUGGAAUGAAAAUUCAGAACAGCAGGUAUGAUCACCAUGGUAACCUGAAGAGCACUGGCACAUUGAAAAUGGAACCAAAGUGAAUACAUUUACCAGCUGUUUUCCUCAGGUGCUAAUUUCCUCCACCAGAUCUUCUACCUAUCACACGAAGAGCCUUUUUUGUUAACUUUUCAAAAUCAUUCCGGUUGUCGUGAGACCAAGAGUUCAACCCGAGAAGAUUAAAAAUAAAAACAAACAAAGCAUUGCA